rnacentral:rRNA from 1 species
GGGGGGGGGGGGGGGGGGGGGGGGGGGGGGGGGGGGGGGGGGGGGGGGCGUGGGGGGGGGGGGUGCGCGGGGGGCGGAGGGGGGGGUGGCGGGUGGGGAACCGGCCGUUGGCGUGGGGGUAGCUUCGGGAGGCUGGGUCUGAUGCCGGAUGGGUGCUCGGGCCGCAGGGUGGGGGUCGGGCAGUUUCGGCGGUUGGGGCUGGACUCGCGGCUUAUCAGCGUGUUGGUUGGUUAGUGGCUUACCAAGGCUUUGACGGGUAGCCGGCCUGAGAGGGUGAACGGCCACAUUGGGACUGAGAGACGGCCCAGACUCCUACGGGAGGCAGCAGUGGGGAAUAUUGCACAAUGGGCGGAAGCCUGAUGCAGAAACGCCGCGUGCGGGAUGACGGCCUUCGGGUGGUAAACAGCUUUAGCCUGUGACGAAGCGUGAGUGACGGUAAUGGGUAAAGAAGCACCGGCUAACUACGUG